AUGGAGAGAACCAGCAAAACAAUAUUUGACAGGAACAUGAGUUCCAUUUACAGAGCUCAGAGGGAAACUGGAGUUCAUAAAGUGAAAAGUCUUCGAGGCCAAUGGACAAUGAAAGCCACAGACAGAAUUGCAACCGUUCUCUGGUUCUCAUUUCAAAAGGAGCAUCCACCAAAUGUGAAGCAAAUCUGGAGGUGCUGCUCUUGUGGUAGACAGUUCUCUGCCAUAUAUUUUAUUUCUGAAAAGAUCUCAUUUUUCAUACCAAACUUUUCAUUGUUGCUGUGCUUUCCCUUGGAAGAAGAAACUGAAUUUAAUUGCAGUCUAAAGCCUUGCCGGAAUCUGGUCAGAAACCUCAGCUGAAUUACUCGUACAAGGAAAGUCUCCUGCUAUGCACACUGCUGUCCUCACCCUUUGGGCCAGUGAAUGGAUCAGAUUCAUUACAGCAUCAACUGUCCCCACUCCUAGGUCAGAAAAAUUAGUAUCAGAGACAGUUACUGCAUAUAGGGGUGAGCAUCAGAAGUGAAAAUUACCCUCAUUAGAAUGGCUCUCAAAAGGGGCAGCCAAAGGGAAAAAGUGAAACAGAAGCCUACCUCUGGGAAUGCAGGCUGGUAUUGGAGCUGUUGUGCUCUCAUCAGAAACCUCUUGAGUUCCAGUUAUGCCAGCUGACAGUGAUACUGCAUUAGAAAGGUGACAGACAGGACUGAAUGAGCACAGUUGACAUUACUGGAAAAAGGGAAAAAAGAAAAACAAUCCACUGUGCACUAGAAAAAAGAAGCACUGUCCCUGCACCGGUGACAAAGUACCCCUUGUCCUCGGGAGCUGCGACUCACUGGGUAGGACACAUAGGCACCUCUCUGUACCUGGAUGUAGGCAUGGAGCAUUUGGGUCAUUCUAACUGAAGAUCAAAGGGAAGAAGUUUAUGAAUAACAAGAGCAGAGACUUUUCUAAGAUAGGCUAAGACAGCCUGCUUGGUAUCAGGGAAGUUAAUGGAGAUGAUGAGCUUGAGUGAGAUCACACAGCAUACACAGGACAAACAGGGGAUCAGACCCCACCAGUGUGGGUUGAUGAAAGGCACGUCCUGCUUGACCAAUUUGAUCUCCCUGUGUGAACAGGUGAUCAGCCUGAUGGGUGGGGGAAAGGCUGCAGAUGUAAUGUACCUGCAUUUCAGUAAAACCUUUGACACCAUCUCUCACAGUAUUCUCUUGGAAAAUCUCAUAGCGCAUGUCUUUCAUUGCCUCCAGGAAUGGGGUAUCCAUAAUUCCUACGGGAACCCCAUUCUGGUGUCUCACCAUCACCUGAGAGAAAAUUUUCUUACUAACAUUUAACCUAAUUCUCUCCCCUUUUAGUUUAAAAUCAUCCAGCCACAUUCUAUCACUGUCCACCCAGGUAACAAUUUGGUCUCUCCUCCUGUUUAUAAGCUCCUUUCAAACACUGCUGUCAUGGUUUUGUGGUGUUGCUGUCAAUAUUCCACAUCAUAACAUCCUCUGGACCUGCUCCAUGAGCUUUGCAUCUUUAUUGUGCUGAGGUCCCAGAACUGGACCCAGUACUCCAGGUGGGACCUCAGAAUGGCAGAGUAGAGAAUGACACCCCCUCUCUCUGUCAGUCACCCUUCUUUAGAUGCAGCCCAGCUUACCAUUGGCCUGGGCUGAAAGGCUUUUCAUCCAUCAGAACCCUCAAGUCCUUUUCCACAGGGCUGCUGUCCAGGCAUUCUCCCAGUCUAUUCACAUACUGAGAACUGCACUGAUCGCGGUGCAGCAUGUUGGAUUUGCUAAUUAAAUUCCAUAUUCUCAGCUAGGAAGCUGUUUACAUGCGACUUUGCCAGAACAUAAACCUAUUUUAAAAAGCCAUUUUUCUUUCAUAUUACAUUAUGGGUCCUUCAGUCUCUAAUCAGCCAGAGAUGUUAUAUUGAACAGGCAUGGCAGGAAAAAAGCCUUAAGUGACAAUUAACUUUACAGUCCAUUUCCCAGUGAAAGAGAAUACUAGGGAAAGGACUGCACGAAAUAAACUUCCUAUUUUAUUGAUCA
ensembl:lncRNA